rnacentral:sRNA from 1 species
AAAAUUGUAUGCCAAGGUAAAAAAUCGAUUUCAAUAUUACU